rnacentral:lncRNA from 1 species
CAGAGAGAAACAGAGACAGAGAGACAGAGAGACUAAGGGACCAGAUGCAGCAACAGACUCUCCAUGUGAAAUUAACAAAUUAGCCCUGCACAUGGAAAUCAGUGCUCACAGGAACUCAGGAGCCAAGGAGAGAGGGAGCUGCCCUGGGGGGAGUCAGAGGUGCACAGGGCCUGGGGGUCUCCAUCUUCCUCAGCACCUGGGGUGAGCCCUGGAGGAGAUACCCGUGGACAGCAAGUUGACUGGCUUAAAGAAUACUCCUGAACAGGACCC